rnacentral:rRNA from 1 species
UACGGAGGAUGCAAGCGUUAUCCGGAAUGAUUGGGCGUAAAGCGUCCGCAGGUGGCUGUGUAAGUCUGCUGUCAAAGAGCGAAGCUCAACUUCGUAAAGGCAGUGGAAACUACACGGCUAGAGUGCGUUCGGGGCAGAGGGAAUUCCUGGUGUAGCGGUGAAAUGCGUAGAGAUGUGGAGGAAUACCGAUGGCGAAGGCAGCCCCCUGGGAUCAACACUGACGCUCAUGCACGAAAGCGUGGGGAGCAAACGAGG